UCCCGACUCUAUUUGGUGGGGCGGAGAAAAAGGAAAAAGCGUGUGUGGAAAGUUAGUGUGUCCCCGUCCGUGUCCCUGUCCGUGUCCUCCGCCCUCGCAGUCGCUGGCCGAUCGUCCGCACUCCGCACUCCGCCCUCCGCCCAGCGGCUCGAAUGGCGCUCCGCUCCGCUCCGCUCCGGCGCUCAAACAAGUGCGACGCCUCCGCUCUUAGCGGCAAUUUCAAACGGCCGGCUGGAUAUGUGGCACCGAACUCCGGCGACAUUCACACACACACAUCUGUGCACAAGGGACUUGUUUUCCUGGAUGUGUCCUGAGCCCCAGACGGCCCGGCCACGGUAUCAUUUGAAGACCAGGGAGAAAAUCGAAAGAAAUGAGGACCAUGACUUAUCUACCGGACGAGGGAAGCAAAGCUGACCUUUCAUGACUGGAGCCAAUAUGAGGGAAAGACGUGUCAACGAGGGCGAAGCAACUGAUGUGUUAAUUUGACAGGAAGUUUGAUGCCACCAUUUGUUAAGGUGCAGGAUCACCUUGUAUGCAUGAUGACAGGAAUCCAAAGAAAUGAAGCCAUGAUGACUGCAAGUGUUUGCUGGAAUGGAGCAGCCUUUUCACACUGGACACGCUUGUUCGUAAAAGCACCCCGAACUUGGAAAGGAAACGCCCCCAGUUUGCUUCCCUCGCACAUCGGAUGCGGCUAGAGUGCACUUGAAAAUGGGCCGAGGACACUUUCAUCUUUGGAAGUGCAAGGAGAAUGCUGACGUUGUCUUUCAUACUACUGGGUGCUGGGAAAACACACACCGCUUUUCUUGAACUGUUCUUUUUUUUGCCUUUAUCCACGAAGAACAGGAGCAAUGGUAAAAUGACUGUUUCUUCACCUGAUUGGAAAAUGUUUCUUGAAUUGUACUUUCCAGGAUGGAUUUUCACUUCCUCCCCAUAGUCUCUUUUUGCCUCAGACAUCGCAUUUUGACUCGAACGACAGCGGAGAACUCACCUGCACAUACAACAAGUGUUAGUUGUAAGCAGAAACGGUGUGUACAGGUAACUCAGUUGAUAAGAGAGCCACCUUUUCAGUGUCCUGGGGAUGUUGGCUUCAAUUACCUCCAGAAGAUGAAGCCUUUGCCUCAUUCUGAAAGGCAAAUUUUUCCUGAAACAAGGUGAACUUGGGCAAUAAAUUCAAGUUUUGUGAAUAAAACACACACCUUCAACAUAUGUCAUCCUUUUCCUUGAAGAUUUGCAUUUUAGUUGUAACAAAAAAAAGAAAACAAAUCCAGAACUGAUGACCUACAAAUAAAGCAUAGACUGUACACCCAAAGGAUUUAUUUCAACUCUUUUUCUUCAAAAAUAAUAUUAACCAAAUCAAUAGUCAGCCCAUUCUUCUCCAUAUUUCUCUUUGUUGCUGCAUUGUUAAACCUUACUUGGAGUCAUUCUAAAACAUAUAUUACUAUAGAUUGUGUGUGCAUUUUGAGACAACAAAUGAUUUAUUCAUUCGAUUUGUUCCUUUGCACAAUCACAAGCCUGUUGACAAUGGAUACCAGUC